rnacentral:rRNA from 1 species
GACGAACGCUGGCGGCGUGCUUAACACAUGCAAGUCGAACGAUGAUGCUCCAGCUUGCUGGGGUUGAUUAGUGGCGAACGGGUGAGUAACACGUGAGUAACCUGCCCCCCUCUUUGGGAUAACCUCGGGAAAUCGGGGCUAAUACCGGAUAUUCUGAUUCUGCCGCAUGGUGGGGUUUGGAAAGAUUUAUCGGUGGGGGAUGGACUCGCGGCCUAUCAGUUUGUUGGUGGGGUAGUGGCCUACCAAGACUACGACGGGUAGCCGGCCUGAGAGGGCGACCGGCCACACUGGGACUGAGAUACGGCCCAGACUCCUACGGGAGGCAGCAGUGGGGAAUAUUGCACAAUGGGCGAAAGCCUGAUGCAGCGACGCCGCGUGGAGGAUGAAGGCCUUCGGGUUGUAAACUCCUUUCAGUAGGGAAGAAGCGAAAGUGACGGUACCUGCAGAAGAAGCGCCGGCUAACUACGUGCCAGCAGCCGCGGUAAUACGUAGGGCGCAAGCGUUGUCCGGAAUUAUUGGGCGUAAAGAGCUCGUAGGCGGUUGGUCGCGUCUGCUGUGAAAACCCGAGGCUCAACUUCGGGCUUGCAGUGGGUACGGGCCAUCUAGAGUGCGGUAGGGGAGACUGGAAUUCCUGGUGUAGCGGUGGAAUGCGCAGAUAUCAGGAGGAACACCGAUGGCGAAGGCAGGUCUCUGGGCCGCUACUGACGCUGAGGAGCGAAAGCAUGGGGAGCGAACAGGAUUAGAUACCCUGGUAGUCCAUGCCGUAAACGUUGGGCACUAGGUGUGGGGCUCAUUCCACGAGUUCCGUGCCGCAGCUAACGCAUUAAGUGCCCCGCCUGGGGAGUACGGCCGCAAGGCUAAAACUCAAAGGAAUUGACGGGGGCCCGCACAAGCGGCGGAGCAUGCGGAUUAAUUCGAUGCAACGCGAAGAACCUUACCAAGGCUUGACAUAUACAGGAAACAUGCAGAGAUGUGUGCCCCUUUUAGGUCUGUAUACAGGUGGUGCAUGGUUGUCGUCAGCUCGUGUCGUGAGAUGUUGGGUUAAGUCCCGCAACGAGCGCAACCCUCGUCCUAUGUUGCCAGCACGUUAUGGUGGGGACUCAUGGGAGACUGCCGGGGUCAACUCGGAGGAAGGUGGGGAUGACGUCAAAUCAUCAUGCCCCUUAUGUCUUGGGCUUCACGCAUGCUACAAUGGCCGGUACAAACCGUUGCGAUACCGUGAGGUGGAGCGAAUCGGAAAAAGCCGGUCUCAGUUCGGAUUGGGGUCUGCAACUCGACCCCAUGAAGUCGGAGCCGCUAGUAAUCGCAGAUCAGCAACGCUGCGGUGAAUACGUUCCCGGGCCUUGCACUCACCGC